rnacentral:lncRNA from 1 species
AGCUACAAAUAAAUACAUAACAAAGUGUGUUUUCUCAUUUAUGGGGAAUUAUCUACCAUGAAACUGAAACAUGAAAGUGGGGAAGAAGUCGGCAAAUAAAAUUUCAGGGAUGAGAGGGGAAACAACAAGGUACAACAGAUGAUUAUGGUGCCUAGCUGUUUAUAGAGUUUUGUGAAAGUUUAGGCCUUUGCAGCUGUGACUGGAGCUCCAGCUCUGCUGGCAACGAUUUGCUCGUAGAGGUCUCUGAUCUUCAAACCAACAAUGGUCUGGAAGAAACCUGUUCCAUUGUUGCUGCCAGGGAAGUCGGC